rnacentral:misc_RNA from 1 species
AAGUCGUAACAAGGUAACCGUAGGUGAACCUGCGGUUGGAUCAUUAACAAAAAAAAAUUGGAAGGUAAGAGGAAGGUGCUUUUGCGAGCUCUUUCUUUUACUUUUUAAACACCAAUUGUGAACCUGUAUUAUUGUUUCUUUUCUGUGUUGUGUAAAAGUGGUAUUCGUUUACUACUUUUUAGGCCAGAAAAAAUCAUUUUUUAAACAUAAGAAUUUAAACCAUUUUGACCAUUAAAUAAAAGUUUGAAAUUUUUUUUUAAACAUUAAAUAAAUUAAAAAAACAACUUUUGGCAACGGAUCUCUAGGCUCUU